rnacentral:rRNA from 1 species
AGCGAACAGAUAAGGAGCUUGCUCCUUUGACGUUAGCGGCGGACGGGUGAGUAACACGUGGGUAACCUACCUAUAAGACUGGGACAACUUCGGGAAACCGGAGCUAAUACCGGAUAAUAUGUUGAACCGCAUGGUUCAAUAGUGAAAGAUGGUUUUGCUAUCACUUAUAGAUGGACCCGCGCCGUAUUAGCUAGCUGGUGAGGUAACGGCUCACCAAGGCAACGAUACGUAGCCGACCUGAGAGGGUGAUCGGCCACACUGGAACUGAGACACGGUCCAGACUCCUACGGGAGGCAGCAGUAGGGAAUCUUCCGCAAUGGGCGAAAGCCUGACGGAGCAACGCCGCGUGAGUGAUGAAGGUCUUAGGAUCGUAAAACUCUGUUAUUAGGGAAGAACAAACGUGUAAGUAACUGUGCACGUCUUGACGGUACCUAAUCAGAAAGCCACGGCUAACUACGCGCCAGCAGCCGCGGUAAUACGUAGGUGGCAAGCGUUAUCCGGAAUUAUUGGGCGUAAAGCGCGCGUAGGCGGUUUUUUAAGUCUGAUGUGAAAGCCCACGGCUCAACCGUGGAGGGUCAUUGGAAACUGGAAAACUUGAGUGCAGAAGAGGAAAGUGGAAUUCCAUGUGUAGCGGUGAAAUGCGCAGAGAUAUGGAGGAACACCAGUGGCGAAGGCGACUUUCUGGUCUGUAACUGACGCUGAUGUGCGAAAGCGUGGGGAUCAAACAGGAUUAGAUACCCUGGUAGUCCACGCCGUAAACGAUGAGUGCUAAGUGUUAGGGGGUUUCCGCCCCUUAGUGCUGCAGCUAACGCAUUAAGCACUCCGCCUGGGGAGUACGACCGCAAGUG